UACCAUUGACUAUCGAACAGCCACCCCCCAAGAAGUGUUAGAGUGAGUGAAUAGUAUAAAUUAAUGUGCAGGUAUGUACUACAUGUACAUGUCCCCCGUUUAAUCAAUUGGUUAGUGGACUCGUUCAGUCGCCAUAACUUGAAUUCCGUGGAUCCAAUUUUAUGAUUUUCUGAAAGCUUAGAAAAAGACCUUUCAAAUAGUACCAGAUAUUUGGGAGAUGUCAGAUUUAGCACGAUACCAUGUCAGAGUUUCAUCUAGGAUUUUAAGUUUGGGGGGGAAAACCGCGCACGCCAGCGUGAAAGUUUGGAGGCCACGCCAACUUCUGGUUACCACACCCCUUGUUGUUGGUGCCUAUUAGCAACUCCAUGUAACUUGGUAUGCUGGUUGUUAUUGUGCACCGUAUACAACACUAGAAACCACAUGUACCAAAAGCAAUGAAUAGAUUUGUGGUAAGACAGACAAUCAUCCUCUAGCAAAAGACGUGUGUUGGGUCUAGUACUCAAACUCUCCCCUUUCUUUUGGGGGGGAAGCUUCCCGCCCCCCCCCCCCCACUAUAUGAAACCCUGCAUGUAAUAAUAGCCCAUGGUUCAAAGUUGAAUUAUGGCAACAUCUAAAUAUUGGAUUGAAAUACAUCAUUUGAAAGGUCUCUUUCUAAGCUUUCAGAAAAUCAUCAAAUUGGGGUCACAGUACUAAAGUUAUGGCUGCUGAAAGAUGUUCAACUUCUGCAACAUGUCUGUGCUUGAAUUAUAACUAGGAAGCAUAUGACGUCAAUAGCUCAGCGUAUGAAUGCUAAUGGAGAGGCUCGUAAACGUGGUGGUGGUAUGACCUGAACCUUCUCCCCCCUCACUCCUAUCAUACAGCGCCUCUACAGCAAGUCACAUGAGGUGAGAGACACUGUACAUGUGUGUAGCUUGUGUGCAAUACAGUAGAGUUACGUACGCACUGUAUCAUACCUGUUUGGUAGUGGCCAUGCACCGGGCAGAGGUUUGGAGGUCCAUUAACCUGGCUGUAUUAUAGACGCUACUUGUAGGGUAUAGACAGGUUUCAAUGUAGCCAACAGUAUAGACUUUAGUAGCUACCUACAUUGUUUGAUUUCUGUGCCCAGGCUGAUAGCAAGAGUGAGAGGUCCUCCAGGAGCCAGAGACACACAGAGUGAGUUAUCCUACACUUUACUGGGAGACCACUCGGCCAUUGCAUACACUUGCUAGUGUCACUGUGUAUUACCAAUCGUGUAUGUACACUAUAGCAGUCACUUUAGUUGCAGCAUUAUUUCUGUUCUUUAUAAAUUACCCCCCACCCACACACGCCCACACACUGUAGAGACGCUAGGAGAUCGGCUCCGAAAGUCAAGUUCUCUAAAACUAUUACCGAGUUUCCAGACUACAGUCGCUAUGACAAGCCCAGGUCAAAGUCCGUCCCAUAGUCACCAUGCAAGUUGAUGGGGACUCGCUAAUGAGGGUCAAAGGUGAAAGCUCGGAACACAUCAGAAAAAAAAAAUUAUUAUUAGCAUAGCACAAACUGUUCAUUAUUUUUAUUGCUUAUACUCAAGAUUUGUAUGUUACUAAUGAUAGUGUCAUUUGCCAUAUG